GACGAACGCUGGCGGCGUGCCUAAUACAUGCAAGUCGAACGGAGUGGCGCACGGGUGAGUAAUAUAUAGCUAAUCUGCCCCUUGCUGGAGGACAACAGUUAGAAAUGACUGCUAAUACUCCAUAGCAAGGGAUGAGACUAUAUCGUAUCAGCUAGUCGGUGGGGUAACGGCCUACCGAGGCUAUGACCCCUAACUGGUCUGAGAGGAUGAUCAGGCAAAGGGGAACGGAGAGACGGUCCAGACUCAUAGGGGAGGCAGCAGUAGGGAAGAUUGCGCAAGGGGGGAACACCUGACGCAGAAACGCCGCGUGGAGGAUGACACUUUUCGGAGCGUAAACUCCUGUUGUUAGGGAAGCGGUACCUGACGAAUAAGCACCGGCUAACUCCGUGCAAGCAGCCGCGGUAAUAC
rnacentral:rRNA from 1 species